AACUCAUAGAGAUAGGACGUUCCCCUUCGGGGGACAGAGGAACAGGUGGGGCAUGGUUUUCGUCAGAUCGUGUCGUGAGAUGUGGGGUUAAGUCCCGCAACGAGCGCACCCCUUUAUUUUAGUUGCCACCAUUCAGUUGGGCACUCUAAGGAGACUGCCGGUGACAAACCGGAGGAAGGUGGGGAUGACGUCAAAUCAUCAUGCCCCUUAUGACUUGGGCUACACACGUGCUACAAUGGAUGGUACAAAGGGCAGCAAAACCGCGAGAUCGAGCAAAUCCCAUAAAACCAUUCUCAGUUCGGAUUGUAGGCUGCAACUCGCCUACAUGAAGUUGGAAUCGCUAGUAAUCGCGGAUCAGAAUGCCGCGGUGAAUACGUUCCCGGGCCUUGUACACACCGCCCGUCACACCACGAGAGUUUGUAACACCCGAAGUCGGUGGGGUAACCUUCUGGAGCCAGCUGCCUA
rnacentral:rRNA from 1 species